rnacentral:pre_miRNA from 11 species
AAGCAGACGCUGUUCCUGGACCUCCUGGGAUGAGGUAGUAGAUUGUAUAGUUUUAGGGUCAUACCCGGUCUUGGAGAUAACUAUACAAUCUACUGUCUUUCCUAUGGGAACUCCCAAUUCAUCAUACCAAC